UGAAAGGUUUCAAAUGUUCCUGAGAUCAAUAAUUAAAAAAAAAGUCAGCUGGAAAUAAGAAAUAAAACGUGGGCUCUAGGACGAAGAGACAGAAAGAUGCUGACAUCAAAUCUGGAAGGGUUAAAAACUUCUGGCUGAGGGAAAACUUCAGGGUCAUGGUGAAUAGAAACAACAUCCAGGUUCACUGACCAACCUUUCUUGAUCUUAUAUCCUGUAAAAGACCAAGAGCCAGUACUAGUAAGCAUUUGAGAUUGCAUUUUUCUGAUUAGCAUGUUUGGUCUUUUUAUCGAGAUGCAUACCAUCAAUCUCAAAAUCCUGAGCAGCUUUCCUUGAGAACCAAGGUAAUACUGUGGCUCUCCUUAGAGUUUCACUUAUUACCUGUAAUACCAAAGAUCAAAAAAAUUCUACGUAUUCCAGUAGGCUAAUUAAUGCGAUGAAGUUAACGUCUUGCUUACUUUAGCGGUGUAAGGCAUGUUAUUAACUUCACUCCAAGAUAGAUUCGCUCCGCCCUUGCCUCUCCCUUGAAUUUCCAUAUGUUCUUCCUGCAUACGAAGCAUAAAACCCGUUCUUCAAUAUUGUUAGGUAACGAUUUCAGUUUAACAGAGUUCAUCGCGAAACGGGAGUACCCUGAGACGUUGCAGAACUUGAGGGUUCUCUCCGAGAAAUUUGAUGAGCCAAGUCAGAGCAGCAGUGGUGGUGUCAUGACCAGCAACCAGAAGAGGACUCCAGGAAAUCAUUUUGGAAGCCUUGUCCUUCUCUCCUCCUAGAAAUGACGCUGUCCAACAUGCUAUCGAUCCUUUCUCGAGCCUGAAUUUGUUGAAAUAGGGAAGUAACUAGACGAAGUCUUUCGUUCUAUCGUGAGGAUAUUCCGAGAACACGAUAAAAA